rnacentral:rRNA from 1 species
AUUGAACGCUGGCGGCAGGCCUAACACAUGCAGGUGGGCGGGUGAAGGGAGGCUGCCCCCGGAAUUAGGCGGGGGAGGGGGGGGAAUGGCUUGGAAAUUGCCCGGGUGGGGGGGAAAAAGUUCGGAAAAGGGGGGUAAUUACGCAAACGGUCCGGGGGAGGAAGGGGGGGAAUUUUGGGACCCACGCCUUUCGGAUAGCCUAGGUCGGAUUAGCUAGUUGGUGGGGUAAAGGCCUACCAAGGCGACGAUCCGUAACUGGUCUGAGAGGAUGAUCAGUCACACUGGAACUGAGACACGGUCCAGACUCCUACGGGAGGCAGCAGUGGGGAAUAUUGGACAAUGGGCGAAAGCCUGAUCCAGCCAUGCCGCGUGUGUGAAGAAGGUCUUCGGAUUGUAAAGCACCUUAAGUUGGGAGGAAGGGCAGUAAGUUAAUACCUUGCUGUUUUGACGUUACCAACAGAAUAAGCACCGGCUAACUUCGUG